UACGUAGGGUGCGAGCGUUACUCGGAAUUACUGGGCGUAAAGCGUGCGCAGGCGGAUUGUUAAGCAAGAUGUGAAAUCCCCGGGCUUAACCUGGGAAUGGCAUUUUGAACUUGCAAUCUAGAGUGUGUCAGAGGGGGGUAGAAUUCCACGUGUAGCAGUGAAAUGCGUAGAGAUGUGGAGGAAUACCGAUGGCGAAGGCGGCCACCUGGACAGUAACUGACGCUGAGGCGCGAAAGCGUGGGGAGCAAACAGG
rnacentral:rRNA from 1 species